rnacentral:rRNA from 1 species
AGUUAGUGGCGGACGGGUGAGUAACGCGUGGAAAACCUGCCGUAUACUGGGGGAUAACACUUAGAAAUAGGUGCUAAUACCGCAUAAGCGCACAGCUUCGCAUGAAGCGGUGUGAAAAACUCUGGUGGUAUACGAUGGUUCCGCGUCUGAUUAGCUAGUUGGUGGGGUAAUGGCCUACCAAGGCAACGAUCAGUAGCCGGCCUGAGAGGGUGAACGGCCACAUUGGGACUGAGACACGGCCCAAACCCCUACGGAAGGCAGCAG